AAUAGAUACCCUGGUAGUCCACGCUGUAAACGUUGGACACUAGGUGUGGCGGUCUGAUCAACGACUGCCGUGCCGAAGCUAACGCAUUAAGUGUCCCGCCUGGGGAGUACGGCCGCAAGGCUAAAACUCAAAGGAAUUGACGGGUCCCCGCACAAGCGGCGGAGCAUGCGGCUUAAUUCGAUGCAACCCGAAGAACCUUACCUGGGUUUGACAUCAUGGGAAAAGCCGUGGAAACACGGUGUCCGUAAGGGCCCAUGACAGGUGGUGCAUGGCUGUCGUCAGCUCGUGUCGUGAGAUGUUGGGUUAAGUCCCGCAACGAGCGCAACCCUUGUCCUAUGUUGCCAGCGGUUCGGCCGGGGUACUCAUAGGAGACUGCCGGGGAUAACUCGGAGGAAGGUGAGGACGAUGUCAAGUCAUCAUGCCCCUUAUAUCCAGGGCUGCACGCAUGCUACAAUGGUCGGUACAACGGGCAGCGAUCCUGCGAAGGUGAGCGAAUCCCACAAAGCCGGCCUCAGUUCGGAUUGG
rnacentral:rRNA from 1 species